rnacentral:lncRNA from 1 species
AGGUGUGCCAACAGCUAGGAGCUCUAGGGGUUUCUGGGGGCUGCUGCUGGACAGGCUGCAGGUCUGGUGCCAACAGUGAGUGUGGUCUGUAUGGAAUAAGGCUGUAUUGUACUAGCAGGAGGGGAGGAGCAGGAUUAGGCCACCCGGGCUAUUCAUCUGAGUGCUGUGUGCAUGCAGCUGGAACUGAGCACGGAGGGAAGUGCCAGGGUUUCCCCUCUGCAAAGCUUCUCUGCCUCCUGGCCGUUGGCCCGUGGCUCCCUCCCGGCAGCACUCCUCACUCUCCUCACCCAAGGCCGGGUGUCCCAUCACCCCUGGGAGCUCCAGGGGCUUCUCACUCUGCUUCACGCAGCCCGCCAACGCCUUCUGCCUCUUCCUGCAGGGGAACGGCACCACCUAGUGCUGCUUGCCUGCUGCAGCUCGCGAGGGUUCGUGCUGACAGCAGCUGGGCUAGGGCAGACCAGCACGGGCAUAAGAAUCUUAGAUGUGGAUUUAUUGAAGGCGUGGUCACGGGUGACCCACAGGGAAAGUGGUAAACAGGGACAACACCACCACUUGUCUCACAUUGAUGCCAACUGUCUUUAUGCUGAAUUGAUGAAACAGCUGAAAGAAGAGAGUCUAAUUGAGCCCUGAGUGCUGCUGCCAGAUUGCUCACCACGGCUGUUUCCAGCAUAAUUGAUAUAGGCAAUCAUUGUUUAAUGAACUUCACGUACGAAUUUCAGUGGAUGAAAACUCUCGAUAUGGAAGCACAGGAGGCAGACAGGAGGGCGCUUGCUUCCAUCUGGCGAGGGCUCCGGCGUGUAUUUACUCGUGUCUCACAAGGCUUAUCACAGCCUACCUCUCUGUCCACGCUGCGUCGGCCGAAGAGCUGGAAACAUUAAUAUUACCACCAGAGGUCACUGUGGGGCAACGCAUCAGUGGUGCCUUCAGAGGCGGCCGAUAGGCAGAACGUGUGAACCGGGCUGUGAGCACUUGUCAUUACACUCCUGCGGUUCGGUAAAACCGGUAAGAAACAAAACAAAACCACCAAAACCAAACAACCGAGGAUUCAGUGAGGAAUUAAUCUUCUGGGGAGACAGUGGCAGGUGGGAGAAGAAUUGUCCCUGCUGAGGUACUACCUGAUGGUUACACGUGCUUCAGAAUAAGAGGAGCUAUGCGCUGUGCUGGAGACUUUAGGAUCUUGGAGAGUAUCUGUUCCAGGAAUUAUUAUAAUAGGUUGUCCAUCCUAUAACUUACUAUAGAAAACAAGAGCCUGAAUCCUGCAGCAUCACUGGGAGAAAUCAAUGAGUGAUAGAAGCAUGUGGUUCCCUGCUGCAGUAUACAGUGGUGUCCAUCUUCCCUCCUCUAGGGAGGCUUGCACCUUGCUCAGCCUGGGGUGCUAGGAAGAGUCUGUUCAGGCUUCUCUGACCCUUGAUCUAUUACUCUGUACAGUAUAUAUGUCCUGUGCACAUAUGUUUGUGAGGGGGGCCUCUACUAGGAGUACGAUGGCCUGGCUGGAACAGGGAACACAGAGAUGUGGCAGUGUUGCCUCCAUCAGACAACUGACUUCAGCACCAUGACAAUUUGGACUGCAGGGUGGCAGAACCCCAAGGUACAAAACAUGACCGGGUGGAGGCAGCUGCCUUUGAGUCAGUGCAGCACAAGUCUGCAGGAGAAAGCCCACCCAGAAGCAACAGACUUGAUCUUCUGAAAGGUAUGCAGGUGGAGCAUCCAUUUCUCAUGAGGAAGAAAUACUGAAUAAAGAACUAGAGCUCCAGCAGUGAAGAACAGCAAAACAUGCUGCCUUUACGGUCUGCAGCAAGUUAUGCCACUGUAGAAAUUAAACCAAGACACAUGUUGUUGAUUUCUGAAGUGCCAAAAGAAGGACAAGGUCAGAGCUGGUCUCUGAAUACAUCAUCCCAAUGGCAUUUCAAUGGAAAUGCAAAUUUAGGAAUUUGGGAUUAGGAACAAAAAAUUUCAGAAAAUAGACACAGACCCAGAAGAAUUAAAGGAAAGGAGUUGGGCAGAUCCCGUAUGUUGUAGACCAAUACACAGAUCAGCAAGCACACACAGAGAAAGAAGAAUAUUACCUGUCAGUGGAAGGUGAGAAAACAAACAUGGGAGGAUGAUAUUUGCCAAGAAGGUAGAUCUUGUGAUAGUCCACAGAAUCAGAACUCAGUGGCUCUGGAGGCCUUAAAUGUAAGUAGCUUUUUAAGAAGUAAUAACUUUCUCCUUCCAGAGUGAUAUUUGGGUACCUACAACUCAUCUCCCCCACUGUUAUUUUAAACUAGUGAAAUGGAGGUUAGAGCCAGCAUUGCUUAUCAGUUUAAUCAUCAGGCCAUAGAUUUCUGUUCCUUCUUCUUACUGGCUUUUAUUGUCACUUAACACUUUGUUUCUUUCUGGUAACACUACCCUUUGCUUUAAUAAUCUCUCCCUUUAUCCUGGCCUCCAGCCUGUACUUUAACAUGGUUAUUCUGGGAGGUAAAAUAUGUAAUUUCCAAUGUUCUUAACUAUAGAAAAUGCUUGCCUUGCAAGGAUGUAUGGGAUUUGAUAUACAAAUAGACUUCCCCUCUAGCAAAGCUUACUAGAUAUCCAAAAGGGCAUGAAUGUUGCUUUCCAUCAUAGAGUGCCUCAUUCCCAAAGCUCUUUGUACUUCAAUGAAAUCUGAAUUGGAAAAAGAUGAUAGGUAUAAUAUCUCCCUGGGCGAUUUACUGCACUUGCUUAAAUCAGAAGACCUUCCUAAUCUCUGUCUCUGAGAAAUGCUUGGGAAAAUAGGAUGUUCUUACAAGAGCAAGCUGUUAAUAAAGCCUUUUCCUGUUAGAUGUGCUAAGUAUCCUUGUAGCAUUUGAAGAGAUGCUGGUCCUAGAGAACAACCGGCAAGGCUGUGGCAGAGCCAGCAGCUUUAUCCACAAGGUUUAAAUCAGGGGUGCUAACAUCUGCUCUUUCAAAGACUUCACCUUUUUUGCCAUUGUCACUAAAAACCAAUGCCUUUAACGCUGAUUAUAGCUGUCUGUGUGCUCCAUGCUAAGGCACAACUGUUUCAGGAUGUGGAAGAUCUCUUUGACCACUUCAUUAUGAAGGAAAAUACAGACAAAGGCAGAAAUACACAUUCGGUUUAGUGCUGCAAUGCUUGAAAUACUUGUUUGGUGUCAUUCCAGCUGAACAGGCUGUAUCCUGUGCCUGCGCUCCCCACCACAGUUGUUACACAGACUUUUUGUAGCCUUCCCCUUUCUUCAACAGCUCCUUUGCAGCCUCAUGCUGGUGAGAAGCUUUGGCUCUGUUUCCCUUUCUGUCCUAACCCUACACCUUGGUUGCAAGUUGAGCCUCAUCCAAAAUGCCCAGUUCUGGCUCAAGGUUCAGACUGUGGCCCCUCAUUCACUUUUAGAUGACUUCUUCCAGAUUGUGGCUUUUCUGCAUCAGAAUUUCAGUCUAAGCUAGCACUGAGCUUGUGGGCUGUUGGACAGGUCUAGGGUGGCUGGCUGCAGCACAAGCCUUUGCCACAAAUGUCCCUGUCAGCUGGAGAGAGACAGUGUCAUUCCUGGACCUAAGCCUCUCUUCAGCAGGUGUUCAGCUUGCUCUGGUUACUCCCUAGAGCCUUUGUGAGUUUGAGUAGCUGGAGCAACUCACUUGUGUAAUCCUAGCACGUUUCCUCUUGCAGGCUGACACCAAGAAAUGCCCCCCUGUUUAUCCCACUGGACAUUGAAGAAUAAUUUUGCCACUCAGCUGGUAAGUUUUAAAGACAAACUGAAGAACUGCCUUAUACACUGCUCGCAAGCUGGUGCUUCUGCAAAACUGCCUGCUUUGUUUCAGUCAGAGCAAUCCAUAGCCCUCAGUCCUAACCCAGUGACAGCUUAAUGCGUAGAGUGUCACUCCUGCAAAUGACCUCUCUCCCUUACGUUGAGUAGCUGAGAUGUCAGUGCUAAGAGCCAGUGGUACUGUAACCCUAUUACUUGGUCCUCAGAGCCACAUUUGAUUGUGUUCUUUGGCAGCAACAGGAAAUAAAUGCACUCAUUUCGGUGUCACCACUGAGGUAUAGCAGCACAACUAAGUUACAUGCCAGAGCAAAUAAAUCCACUUGGCAGCAGCAGCUGCACUUGU